GGUUAAGCGACUAAGCGUACACGGUGGAUGCCCUGGCAGUCAGAGGCGAUGAAGGACGUGCUAAUCUGCGAAAAGCGUCGGUAAGGUGAUAUGAACCGUUAUAGCCGGCGAUGUCCGAAUGGGGAAACCCAGUGCAAUUCGUUGCACUAUCGUUAACUGAAUACAUAGGUUAACGAGGCGAACCGGGGGAACUGAAACAUCUAAGUACCCCGAGGAAAAGAAAUCAACCGAGAUUCCCCCAGUAGCGGCGAGCGAACGGGGAGCAGCCCAGAGUCUGAAUCAGCUUGUGUGUUAGUGGAACGGUCUGGAAAGUCCGACGGUACAGGGUGAUAGUCCCGUACACCAAAAUGCACAGGCUGUGAACUCGAAGAGUAGGGCGGGACACGUGGUAUCCUGUCUGAAUAUGGGGGGACCAUCCUCCAAGGCUAAAUACUCCUGACUGACCGAUAGUGAACCAGUACCGUGAGGGAAAGGCGAAAAGAACCCCGGCGAGGGGAGUGAAAAAGAACCUGAAACCGUGUACGUACAAGCAGUGGGAGCACCUUCGGGUGUGACUGCGUACCUUUUGUAUAAUGGGUCAGCGACUUAUAUUCUGUAGCAAGGUUAACCGUAUAGGGGAGCCGCAGGGAAACCGAGUCUUAACUGGGCGUUAAGUUGCAGGGUAUAGACCCGAAACCCGGUGAUCUAGCCAUGGGCAGGUUGAAGGUUGGGUAACACUAACUGGAGGACCGAACCGACUAAUGUUGAAAAAUUAGCGGAUGACUUGUGGCUGGGGGUGAAAGGCCAAUCAAACCGGGAGAUAGCUGGUUCUCCCCGAAAGCUAUUUAGGUAGCGCCUCGUGAAUUCAUCUUCGGGGGUAGAGCACUGUUUCGGCUAGGGGGUCAUCCCGACUUACCAACCCGAUGCAAACUACGAAUACCGAAGAAUGUUAUCACGGGAGACACACGGCGGGUGCUAACGUCCGUCGUGAAGAGGGAAACAACCCAGACCGCCAGCUAAGGUCCCAAAGUCAUGGUUAAGUGGGAAACGAUGUGGGAAGGCACAGACAGCCAGGAUGUUGGCUUAGAAGCAGCCAUCAUUUAAAGAAAGCGUAAUAGCUCACUGGUCGAGUCGGCCUGCGCGGAAGAUGUAACGGGGCUAAACCAUGCACCGAAGCUGCGGCAGCGACACUAUGUGUUGUUGGGUAGGGGAGCGUUCUGUAAGCCUGCGAAGGUGACCUGUGAGGGUUGCUGGAGGUAUCAGAAGUGCGAAUGCUGACAUAAGUAACGAUAAAGCGGGUGAAAAGCCCGCUCGCCGGAAGACCAAGGGUUCCUGUCCAACGUUAAUCGGGGCAGGGUGAGUCGACCCCUAAGGCGAGGCCGAAAGGCGUAGUCGAUGGGAAACAGGUUAAUAUUCCUGUACUUGGUGUUACUGCGAAGGGGGGACGGAGAAGGCUAUGUUAGCCGGGCGACGGUUGUCCCGGUUUAAGCAUGUAGGCUGGUUGUCCAGGCAAAUCCGGAUAAUCAAGGCUGAGGUGUGAUGACGAGGCACUACGGUGCUGAAGUAACAAAUGCCCUGCUUCCAGGAAAAGCCUCUAAGCAUCAGGUAACAUUAAAUCGUACCCCAAACCGACACAGGUGGUCAGGUAGAGAAUACCAAGGCGCUUGAGAGAACUCGGGUGAAGGAACUAGGCAAAAUGGUGCCGUAACUUCGGGAGAAGGCACGCUGGUGUGUAGGUGAAGUCCCUGCGGAUGGAGCUGAGACCAGUCGAAGAUACCAGCUGGCUGCAACUGUUUAUUAAAAACACAGCACUGUGCAAACACGAAAGUGGACGUAUACGGUGUGACGCCUGCCCGGUGCCGGAAGGUUAAUUGAUGGGGUUAUCCGUAAGGAGAAGCUCUUGAUCGAAGCCCCGGUAAACGGCGGCCGUAACUAUAACGGUCCUAAGGUAGCGAAAUUCCUUGUCGGGUAAGUUCCGACCUGCACGAAUGGCGUAAUGAUGGCCAGGCUGUCUCCACCCGAGACUCAGUGAAAUUGAACUCGCUGUGAAGAUGCAGUGUACCCGCGGCAAGACGGAAAGACCCCGUGAACCUUUACUAUAGCUUGACACUGAACAUUGAGCCUUGAUGUGUAGGAUAGGUGGGAGGCUUUGAAGCGUGGACGCCAGUCUGCGUGGAGCCAACCUUGAAAUACCACCCUUUAAUGUUUGAUGUUCUAACGUUGGCCCCUUACCGGGGUUGCGGACAGUGUCUGGUGGGUAGUUUGACUGGGGCGGUCUCCUCCCAAAGCGUAACGGAGGAGCACGAAGGUUAGCUAAUCCUGGUCGGACAUCAGGAGGUUAGUGCAAUGGCAUAAGCUAGCUUGACUGCGAGCGUGACGGCGCGAGCAGGUGCGAAAGCAGGUCAUAGUGAUCCGGUGGUUCUGAAUGGAAGGGCCAUCGCUCAACGGAUAAAAGGUACUCCGGGGAUAACAGGCUGAUACCGCCCAAGAGUUCAUAUCGACGGCGGUGUUUGGCACCUCGAUGUCGGCUCAUCACAUCCUGGGGCUGAAGUAGGUCCCAAGGGUAUGGCUGUUCGCCAUUUAAAGUGGUACGCGAGCUGGGUUUAGAACGUCGUGAGACAGUUCGGUCCCUAUCUGCCGUGGGCGCUGGAGAAUUGAGGGGGGCUGCUCCUAGUACGAGAGGACCGGAGUGGACGCAUCACUGGUGUUCGGGUUGUCAUGCCAAUGGCACUGCCCGGUAGCUAAAUGCGGAAGAGAUAAGUGCUGAAAGCAUCUAAGCACGAAACUUGCCCCGAGAUGAGUUCUCCCUGAGACUUUAAGUCUCCUGAAGGAACGUUAAAGACGAUGACGUUGAUAGGCCGGGUGUGUAAGCGCAGCGAUGCGUUGAGCUAACCGGUACUAAUGAACCGUGAGGCUUAACCUU
rnacentral:rRNA from 1 species